AGUUGAAAAAGGCAAAGCUAUCGAAAGAUAGUGACUGCAAAGCUAUGGGUCUAAAGCUGUUAUCCAGCUAUGAUCGCCAGGCCGCCAGC
rnacentral:ncRNA from 1 species